rnacentral:lncRNA from 12 species
CUGGUUUUGAACAAUUGUACAUUGUACUUUGUAAAUGUUAGCUCCAGAUAAAGUUUAUUUUUACAUCUAUCAUAAUAGCCUUAACGCUCAUCACCUCCAAUUUUCUCACCUUUCCCUUACCCUAAAUUUGUGUGUAUGAAAAAGGUGAUGUCUGCAAUAGGAGUUUAUUAUAAAGCAGAUGAAUUUAUGGACAAUUAAAAAUGUUAAGAGACAUAAUAUUAUAUUAUCGUAACCUUUUGCAUUUAUUUUUCUCCUUUUUUUUAAUACCAAUAGAUCUUGUAGGAGACACUUCCAUUGUGUCUGACACUUCUGAUGUUAUGGUGUCAAUUCAGAGAAUAGGAAGCUUUCUGUUUGGUGACCUCUUGCAAAGAAGCAAACCCCUGGACAUCUUGAAGCAUCUCUCAUUUCAUUAGAUCCAGUCAGACAAAGGUAUGUGUACUCUCAGUGACCUCGCUAUCGAGUCUUGUGCCUCCUGGAGCAGUGCUGAAGUACAUUUUUUUUCUGGAACGAGGUCCUGCAGAUUACAGACUCUCAACACAUUCAUUGAAUAUGUCAAAGAUCCCUGAUAUUUUCAGGGCAUUACCUUCUUGGUUGUAAAUAGUUAUUACCCCUGAGGGAAGAUAUUAGUUGUUCUCAGACCCUGGAACACUCCCAGUUUGUGGUAUAAUAAUAGCUAAUACCAACUAGCAUUCAUAAGAGGCUUGUUUGAUCAUAGUACUUUUAAUAUGUGAAAUCAUUUGUUUCUCACAAAAAACUUUAAAAGUAAGUAUAACUGAGGAAACUGAGUCACAGACAGAUCAUUCACAUUCACACAGCUGUGAAUCAUGGAGGAGCUGGAAUCUGGACACAGGCAAUGUGACUCAAGGGUUCUCCAUCUUAGUGUCUCUGCUAUGUUGUUACUUGAUGGGGUGAGAUAUAGCUUUUUACAUGACAUGCUGAUGAACAUUUUUUCUCUUAUAUUCAUGUUUAAUUAUAUUAGAAAAAUGCAAUUUGUACAUCAAAGUCACAAUUUCAU